GUGUUCCAUUUCGCUCCGUUCCAUUAUGUUCCAUCAAUCCAAACAUACCCUUCCUCUUCAAUGUUCAACCCUUUGUUUCUCUGGCUCUCUCUCAACUCAUGGGUUGUCUCUUCACCACACCGCCUCAGCCAGACGAAACAAUGGAGAGGAACCUUCUGAUUCAUUCUUAGCACUUCGGCCACACCGUCUAGCUUGCUUCAAGUGUUGGGAAGAACAGCAUGAAGAAUAUUCUGAGGCUGAAGAAGAUGAUUCUGAAUAAGCCAACAUUUGCUUGAUGGCAGAUACAAAAUCUUUUGAGAAGUCAGAACAUGAAGAUUGUGAAGAGGAAAUCCAUCAUUAAUUGUUACAUUAAUUGUUUGGCGAAGGGUCCAACAAUUAUAUCACAUAACUAGUGCCUAUCAAAAAAAAAUAUCACAUAACUAGUAGAUUAAGUUGAGAAAAAAUUGAACUGCUGGAUUAUUAUUAAGUACUUAACAAAUACAAGAUAGGAUGUUUCACACACAUUACACAUAUUAAGCGGAAAGAAAAAAGGAUUGCAUUAGCAUAUAAAGAUAUAGAACCUUGACAUCAAAGGCAAUGUCAUGACAAUGCCAUGCCAUAAUCAUCUUCCAGUAUUCUGAAGGCUGUUGCUAUCACCACCUUCAUAAUAAAUGUUUGAAGCUUCCUCGUGAAGCAAGUAUCGAGUAUCCUCCAAAUCUAGUUCAUUAUUUGUCCAGGAGUGCUUCUCCAUUAGCCUUAAUCCCUCCAACUCCAUAGCCACUUCCUUCAUGCUUGGUCUUUUCUCGCCUUUAAGCCGCAAACAUUUUGCUGCAAGAACAGCAACCUCCUUUAUCUCUUGCUUAUUUUCUUCAUUCAUGAUUCCAGCUUGAACAACAUCAAACAUGCGGUCCUCUUUCAAGCAAGAUAGAAAGUGCAUAGCAAGGCUUCUUUUGUCUUCUGGUCUGUCAAAAGAAAUAGGUUUCUCCCCAGAUAGCAGCUCUACAAGCACUACCCCAAAGCUAUAUACAUCACUUUUCUCUGUUAAUUUUUGUGAUUGCAUAUACUCUGGGUCUAAGUAUCCAAGAGUUCCCUGCACUAUUGUGGCUAUAUCAACUUGGUUAAGCGGAACCAAUUUUGAAGAUCCAAAAUCUGACACUUUGGCUCUGUAAGUUUCAUCCAAGAGAAUGUUGGAACCCUUUACAUCUCUGUGGAUAAUGGGUACAAAGGCAUCUGAGUGCAGAUAUGAGAGAGCUCCAGCUGCCUCUGCUGCUAUCCUUAGACAAGUUUUCCAUGUUACAUUUUCUUCCUUGCCUCCAUUGUGAAUCAAAUCAUGAAGGGUACCAUUGCUGACAUACUCAUAAACUAGUAAAGGAACUUCAGUCUCCAAACAACAUCCCAAGAGUUUGACCACAUUCUUAUGAAUGAUUUGGGACAGAACAACCACCUCGUUAAUGAAUUGCUCAAUUUGACUCUUAUCUGCGAUUCUGGACUUCUUGAUCGCAACAAUCCGUUUAUCUGGUAGAACUCCUUUGAAAACUAUGCCAUAACCUCCUCUACCGAUGAUUAAGCUCUCGUCAUAGUUGUUGGUGGCCUUCUUGAGUUCAUCUUCUGUGAAAAUUUUAACAGUUUGGGAGGAAUAUUCUCUUGUACUGAGUUUUUGGAGCAAAAUGAAACCCCCAUUCUCACGGAAGAAUUUCUUUUUUAGCUUCAUUAGUUUCCUUUUCUGGUAUGUUAUGUAUAGGGAGGCAAUCCCCACAAAUAGAAUAAUAAUCCCUGCACCUGCUGCUGCAUUCCAAAUAUUUUGACGCAAUCAAUUAGUUAUUCUCUAAAUAACAUCAACAACAUCCCUGCUGAAUGAUCAUAACUACGAGAACUUGAAAUGAAAGACACAAGAGACUGAAAUAAAUCUAAAUGGAUGUGCUUAGCUUCUUACCAAUUAUAACUUUGGUAAGUACUUCCUUUUUGUGGCACCCUCCUUUCUCAGUUCCAUCUCCAGAUUGCCCCUUAGGACAAAAGCAUUGGUAAGACCCAUUGAUGUUGUGACAGUGAUUUUCAUCUAUGCAUAUAUGAUUUGACAUCUUACCGCUCAUGUUUGGCCAGCGAAGGAGAAGAUGGGUUUGCACUCUCAGUUUUAGAUUCCGUUGGAAUUUGAUUUUGGAAAAAAACCAUUUAUGGCCACUGCUAUAUUUUUUUAGUUGCAUAUAAUUUCUUGGAUUUUGUUUGCUACAACUUCAAUUCUUUUUCAGUGUUUGGUGAAACACUUUCUGUAAGCUAGAAAUUGAAUCAAAUGCAUGUAUUGAUGAAGAUGAACAAUAAUUGAUGUAAAUGGAGAUGAGAAUGAUUUUAAUUUUAGUAGUUACAAAUUUUCUGGGUUUGUAUUGAUGAAGAUGGAGAAAGUGAGGAAUGAGAAGGGGAGAAGGAGUGGUGGUUAUAGUGGAGGACUAAAAAUGCAACUAACUAAAAGUUAUUUAAUUAAUAAAUUAUUUUUUUCAGUUAAAAUUAAUUUGGAAAUGUCAUGUCAUUACUUUCAGUUAGAUGUUACGCGAAAUUUAACGGAAAACCAAUUUUGCAACCGGGUGAAAACUUCAGGGUCGUUUUUUUUGCUAAUUUUGAAGUUUGGGAACGAUUUUCGUAGGAAGGCCAAAGUUGGGGACCAAAAGUGUUAUUUAGCCUUAUUGCUAUCAUAUUGUUUUCCUUGUUUGUAUUUCAGGUUUUGGAGGCGAGUUCAUGCCUGGGAAAAGCGGGAUUCUCUUCACGAUAGUUUUGAGAGGCUCUCUCUUCAGCCACACCAUCUAUCUAGCUUGUUGCAAGUUUGAACCCCACUCCAGUGGCAGUGACUGUGUAUUGAUUGGGUUAAAUUGAAUGUCAACGGAGCGGUGAAGGCGGAUUGUUCAGCAGGUUGCAGAGGUGUUCUUCGAGAUAGGAAGGGUAGCUGGCUGUCUGGUUACUGUCAGAAUUUAGGCACAACUAAUCCUCUCGUAGCGGAGCUUUGGGCCAUUCCUACGGCGGCAGAAAUCACUCUUGACCUGAUUUACCCACAGCUUAGUGAUUAUGAGGAAAUUUGAUAUUGGUAAUGUCGUCCUUCAAAAGGCCGAUAUUGAAGGAAAGAACUAAGCAAAGGGAAAGCUUGCAGAAAAUUGGGAAGGACUACUCUUUCAAUUACUGCGAGAUAAGCAUGCAACUUUAUGCUAUACUAUUGAUGUCUGGCGUACAUUUGUACAGAUAGGACCAAAAAUCAGUGUAUCUAUUAGUAAUUGUGUUUUUCAUUAUAGCAAUAGCAACAUAUGUUUGCUAUUCUAGAGAAUUUUGCUGGUGCUGCUAUUGUUUUGAGUUCACAUUGUUUUGCUUAAAUUUUUUAGUGUAGUUUAUGUACUAGUGCUAAGGAGAUUUAUGGAUGUACAACUUGCAAUUUCUCAUUGUUAUUUUCACUUUUUUGAUGGAGUCCAUUAUUUUAUAGAA